rnacentral:rRNA from 1 species
CCUACGGGACGCAGCAGUGAGGAAUAUUGGUCAAUGGACGAGAGUCUGAACCAGCCAAGUAGCGUGAAGGAUGACUGCCCUAUGGGUUGUAAACUUCUUUUAUAAAGGAAUAAAACGAGGCACGUGUGCCUUUUUGCAUGGACUUUAUGAAUAAGGAUCGGCUAACUCCGUGCCAGCAGCCUCGGUAAUCCGGAGGAUCCGAACGUUAUCCGGAUUUAUUGGGUUUAAAGGGAGCGUAGAUGGGUUGUUAAGUCAGUUGUGAAAGUUUGCGGCUCAACCGUAAAAUUGCAAUGGAUACUGGCAGUCUUGAGUACAGUUGAGGUAGGCGGAAUUCGUGGUGUAGCGGUGAAAUGCUUAGAUAUCACGAAGAACCCCGAUUGCGAAGGCAGCUUACUAAACUGUGACUGACAUUGAUGCUCGAAAGUGUGGGUAGCAAACAGGAUUAGAUACCCUUGUAGUC